rnacentral:snoRNA from 1 species
UGAUGGCUGUUCUGCUCACUGCGUGGAGCCUUAAGUAGUGAGAUUUUAGGCCAUCAUACAUCUAAACUGACUUGUUUUCAUUCAGGGCACCAUGGGUUAGCUGUCUGAUCUAAACUGACUUGUUUUCAUUCAGGGCACCGUGGGUUAGCUGUCUGUCACUCACUGCCUUUUGAUUUUUGCAGACUCAAACAAUU